rnacentral:rRNA from 1 species
UGAGGAAUAUUGCUCAAUGGGCGAAAGCCUGAAGCAGCAACGCCGCGUGCGCGAUGAAGGUCUUCGGAUCGUAAAGCGCUUUUGAGAGGGACGAGAUAGGACGGUACCUCUUGAAUAAGUCACGGCUAACUACGUGCCAGCAGCCGCGGUAAAACGUAGGUGGCAAGCGUUAUCCGGAUUCACUGGGCGUAAAGCGCGUGCAGGUGGCUUCGUAAGUUGGACGUUAAAUCUUUCGGCCUAACCGGGAGGUGUCGUUCAAUACUGCGGGGCUUGGGGAUAGAAGAGGGGGGUUGACUGGCCGGUGUAGUGGUGAAAUGCGUAGAUGUCGGCAGGAACACCUGUGGCGAAAGCGGCCCCCUGGUCUGCUCCUGACACUCAGACGCGAAAGCUAGGGGAGUGAACG